GUGUGUCUAUGUGCGAACAUUGUUUCUCAAAAGUAUAUAAAUUAUUCAAAUAGUGUGCUCAAUGAAAGGCAUAUACUUAGAUUUCAAAGUAUUUCGACUCGGAAUUCGUGCAGAAUUGUUGUUGUUUACAGGA
rnacentral:snoRNA from 1 species